UACGUAGGCAGCAAGCGUUGCUCGGAAUGACUGGGCGUAAAGGGCGCGUAGGCGGAUUGUACAGUCAGGCGUGAAAUUCCCCGGGCUCAACCUGGGGGCUGCGCUUGAGACGUGCGAUCUUGAGUGGGGAAGAGGGUCGUGGAAUUCCCCAGUGUAGAGGUGAAAUUCGUAGAUAUUGGGAAGAACACCGGUGGCGAAGGCGGCGACCUGGUCCUUGACUGACGCUGAGGCGCGAAAGCGUGGGGAGCAAACAGG
rnacentral:rRNA from 1 species